rnacentral:tRNA from 1 species
GGAAGUGUAGCUCGAAGGUCGAGCAAGUGGCUGUUAACCAUUAGGCGUGGGUUCGAUUCCCUCUACUUCCG